UGCCAGCCGCCGCGGUAAUACGGAGGGGGUUAGCGUUGUUCGGAAUUACUGGGCGUAAAGCGCACGUAGGCGGAUUAGUAAGUUAGGGGUGAAAUCCCGGGGCCCAACCCCGGAACUGCCCUCAAAACUGGCAGCCUUGAGGACGGAAGAGGCAAGUGGAAUACCGAGUGUAGAGGUGAAAUUCGUAGAUAUUCGGUGGAACACCAGUGGCGAAGGCGGCUUUCUGGACCGAUACUGACGCUGAGACGCGAAAGCGUGGGGAGCAAACAGGAUUAGAUA
rnacentral:rRNA from 1 species